rnacentral:lncRNA from 1 species
AAUUAAUUUUAUUCAAUCUAAAUUCGUAAAUUAGUUGAAUUGACUCUCAUAAAAUGAAUAGAGGAAGUAUCACUCACAAAUAUUUGCCUUUUUAUAAAAAAAAUAAAUCAAAAAUAAUUGGAUGUCACAUGAAAACUGAUAAAAUAACAAUAUAAAUAUCAAAAGAUGAUAAAUUAGAUAAUAAAAGAGAAAUAUAUUAAAA